UUCUUUUUAAUUUGAAAUGAACCCAAAAAAACUAUUUCCAAAUUGUCUUUUCUUGUUUUGGUAACUAAAUUUAGAGGAAACCAAACCCACGGCAAAUGAUGACUACAGCAGCAGUAACAACAUCAACUUCUCGGCCAGUACAGCACAAAUAGACAAACUUCAUGCGGAGCAACUAAACAAAGAACUUCAACUCCAACAACUUCGCCUCAACAAAGACACUAAAGGAGAAAACCCAAAACAGAAUGGGGAACAAAACUUCACUGCAAGACACUUCAAAGAUUGGCCAAAGAGACAAAACAAAGUAAAUCUUUUAGGCGGCAGACAGCAUCAACCACAGACGCAGACCCACUUAAAUAACUUUGGCAAAAUAUUUGUAUGCCAAGCACGGCAACAACCUUAGACAUCGUUACAUUCAGUACCCUUUUUCGGAUGAGACUUCUCUACAACCAGCACCACCAUCACCCAAGUAGAGAGGGCAACACUAAAAACAAAAAGUUUGCAUUGUUACAGCUGUAGCUGUGGCUGAAGUUGACGACAACAAAAAUAGUUCCUUUAACUGCCUGUUUACCUCUUUCACGCCUUAGCCCAUGAUUUCAUUGGAACUAUUGAAAAGAUCUUCCGAGUAUUGAUGUGAACCGUUUUAAGUCGCGCCAAAGGUCAACAAUGCAGCCAAGGAACCAAAAAUUCCCCCGCAAAAAAAAGAACCCAGAUGAAAAGAACCUAAAUUUAUUUUCUAUUUGAACAAUAAUGUUUAAAGACUUUGGCCUUUCAUUGUUGGCCCAUGCCUUAAAGCCCAUUGGCAAAGCAGGCAAAACGGAAACGUGAGAAUUUAAUUUUUAUUCUUCAUGUCUUCAACACUCAACAUUUAAGCGCUUUUGGUUAACCCUUUCAUUGAGAGGAAUUCAUUGGUUUAAGAUUAAAGGAGUAUGCGCUAAAGCAGUAUAGCUCUAACCUUUCUCGAGAAGUGAUGAAAGAAAAUAAAAAAGCACUUGUCUCGUCUUGAGCGUUGUGGAAAGCACGGAUGUAAUCUUCGGGAAAAGUUUUCGGGCCGUGUGUUCUCUGGAAGAGAUGAUCACAAUGGGGGCCACGUGAAAGAUAAGGUGUACGUCAACACCCCAUUCUCGACUCAAGAUCUCAUAGAUAGAAUUCGUGAGGGUGUCGAGGACAUAGCUUUAACCUUUUUCAAAAAUCCUCCUAAAUCCUCCUAAUGCUUGCAACAUUUGUAAAGUACUAUGCCAUGUAAAACUUCUCUGCAAAGAGGUGUCGCACUACGACAC
rnacentral:sRNA from 1 species